rnacentral:lncRNA from 1 species
UGUGUCAUUCCUUUAGAAGCACUUGGAAGGCAGGACCCUCGGUCUCUUACUGGAAAGAAUGAGAUUGAGAGCAGAGUUUGAAACUCAUCUCGCUGAGGGACAUUUUAAUCUACCUCCUCUACAAUUGGAGCACGUAAUCCUGGAGCUGACUUCAUACUUACCCUUCUGCAACAAGCACUGGUGAAACCAUGGACCCACUAGUUAGAAAAUGGACUUAGAAAUC